rnacentral:lncRNA from 1 species
GGCCUCUCAAAAGUGGCUCACAUGCUUCCUUGUCCUUUCACACAAAGUGAUCACUGCUCUUUUUUUUGUUUAGAGUCAGGGUCUUGCUCUGUUGCCCAGGCUGGAGUGCAGUGGUGCAAUCAUAGCUACCUGCAGCCUCCAAUUCCUGGGCUCAAGUGAUCUUCCUGCUUCAGCCUCCCAAGCAGAUGGCACUACAGGUACACACGACCAUACCUGGCUAAUUUUUAAAAAUAUUCUGUAGAGGCAGGGUCUUGCUAUCUUUCCCAGGCUGGAACAGUGAUCAUCUUGAAUACCUUUUCUCCCCUGUAGAAACUGUUAUUCCAUCUUUCCUUUUUUCUUUGUGCCUUGUGUGUUCUUUAAGUUGUAUGCAAAAAGUGUCUCUAUUUAAACAUUUUAAAAGUUAUUAUUUAUAGCUUAUAAAUAGGUAUAACAGCAGUAUAGGUAAAUUUUUCACAAACCAGUUAGUUUCUUAAGUAAAUGGUACUCAACAUGAUAGUUAAGGCACCAAAAAGGACCUCUGUAUUUGAGUGACUAAACCUACGCAAUAAAGAGCAGCAUUUUGUACUCAAAAUAAAUUUUGUAGAAAAGGAAACAUGCUGUGUCUUCUAAAGUAAGACAACAAACACACCCAGAAAGGGGGCCCACAGCAUUCCUUUCCUCUCUUUUUCCACCGUAAUUUCCUCCUCAUAUUGCUUUUCCUUUUGUUUACCUUACUCAGGUUCUCCUGUCCCAGCCCCUGGGCUUGCCAGUGAUGCCCAGAGGAUGAUGUGCCUGGUGGCUGAGCUCUUCCAGAACUAAAGACGUGCGGAUCCCUGAGUAUCCAUAACCAUCAAAGCAUGAAGUAAUGCCUUGUAAGUGGUGUCACCACACCUCCCAGAAGAAGGAUGGAUUCCUACCAGAAGCAGUCAAACAUAGUGCCGGAUCAUCUAAGUGAAACGGAUCCCCAUGGGUGCUGCUAUUGGGAUACCAAAGGUCUGAAGUUCAUCCAAUGCAAUAGCAGAAAUAAUUACAUCUGUGAGCAUGUGAGAAGAACCCUGAGUUAGUCCCAAGUGCAAAUCACCAUCUCCAACCAAUUCCUCCACCAAUUGAUGGAUGUUGGGGAGUGGGGUACAGCAACCCCUCCAAGUCCUUCCUCCCUCUAUAUAGCCCAGGAGACUCCCCUCCCACCAGCCUGGCCCCCAGAGUGCUGACUGGCAACAAUAUUCCAAGUUAAAAUAGUUUGCUAAAUAGUUAUACAAUUAGUUUACAAUUCAAAUAUAUCAGAGGAAAAGACAGGGAAAAAAAUUCUAAGAUACAUGAAUCCCAGACCAUUGCUCUCCAAAUAUUUUCAAGUGAUUCAUCUCCUUUAUUUAAAAAAUGAAUUAACCACCAGAUGGGACACUCAUACAUUCCUGAUGGUUGUAGGAAUCAGUAGACCCUGUAUGGAAAGCAAUAGGAUAAUAUUUCAUAGGAUCAAAUUAAAAUGUUCACAGCAUUGGUUCCAGGAAAUUGGCUUCUGGAGAAUUUAUACUCCAGAAACAAUUCAACAAAAGAACACAGCUCUGUGCAUGCAGAUGCUCAUUAGCCCAUCACCUAGAGUAAGGGAAAGUGGAGAUCCCAAUGAACAACAAUGAGAUGGGUUAGCGAACUGUGACCUAUCAGCCCAAUGGACAUUUAAGCAAUCACUGAAAAGUAGAAACAUGAAGAUAUUACACAACAUGGAAACUGUUUAUGGAGUAUAUUUAGGUAAAAAGGAAAAAAAGGCAGAACUGUAUAUCUGUGGUUGGAUAUACUUUUUUUUUUUUAAUAUUAAGCACCAACCAAAAGAAGAAAGGAGGAUAGAAAAAAUAAAAUGGAAGAUGUAGGGUGGGCAGAUUAGGGCUGCGUUUGUUGCUUGCUUUCAUGUUACCAUCAUAGCGUUUUUGCCACUUACAAAGGAGGAAAAAAAUCAAUUCUGUGCCAACCCAGACAACAGAGACCUGAGUGGGGGUUGGGAAGAGAGAUUUUUCAGCACAGAAUCAGACUCCUUCUCCAAAGAGCUGUGUGGCCUUCACCUGCAAGGCGACCUCUUCCACAAGCAGAGGCCAGGACAAAAAGAGGCACCUGUGAGCGACAAAGACGGUUUCCUUGGUUUCCCUCACGGCGCCAAGCGGAGUGGCCGCCUCCCACCACAGGGCCCCCUAAUGGGCGCUUUUGUCCUGCGGGGCAGAGGGACCUCAUUAGAAGGCGCUGGUGCUAAAGGGAAAUGCAUUUCCAGAACAGGAGGUUUCAUCAUUCCUAGCGUUAGCGACAGAAUGGUGACAGAAGCUCUGUGGACGUAUUUUCCAGCGUUCAGUUCACAUCAAGGAUGGGUAUGCACUGGCGGAAAAGGUCAGCUCGCAGAAUGAUCGCCCAUCCACACAGCGUUUGGAGGUCAGACGUUCCUGAUGACUGUGAAAAUGGGGAGGUGAGAAGAGGUCGUCAAAGGGAGCAGCCUUUUAAAGCCAGGGUCGUGAGAAGAAGAGGCAAGGCGUUUGGUAAAUCGAAUUGAUUGAUGCCCAGAAGCAUUUGCGGGUUGCAGAGCUCACACUUUAAAGGGGGCCUGGGCACCCGGCUUGAGGGUCACCCGAACACACUACCCACGCGGCGAGGCGAGCGUGGGGAACAAUGGGCCCACCCGGGCCCCCACCCGGCGAACAAUGGCGGCGC